rnacentral:rRNA from 1 species
GACAAACGCAGGCGGCGUGCGUAACACAUGCAAGUUGAACGCGAAUAUAUGAGAAGUGGUAACACGGAUUGUAUGUUUGAGUAGCGGACGGGUGAGUACAACAUGAGAACCUAUCCUUCAAAGGAGGACAACGUUUGGAAACGGACGCUAAUACCCCAUAAGCCGAGAGGUUAAAGCAGCGAUGCGAUGGAGGAGGGGCUCGUGUCCUAUCAGCUAGUUGGUGGGGUAGUGGCCUACCAAGGCGACGACGGGUAGCCGGCCUGAGAGGGUGUACGGCCACAGUGGAACUGAGAUACGGUCCAGACUCCUACGGGAGGCAGCAGUGGGGAAUAUUGGGCAAUGGGAGAAAUCCUGACCCAGCGACGCCGCGUGAACGAAGACGGCCUUCGGGUUGUAAAGUUCUUUUAUGUGGGAAGAAAACAAUGACGGUACCACAUGAAUAAGCCCCGGCUAACUACGUGCCAGCAGCCGCCGUAAAAC